rnacentral:rRNA from 1 species
ACGAACGCUGGCGGCGUGCUUAACACAUGCAAGUCGAACGGAAAGGCCCUGCUUUUGUGGGGUGCUCGAGUGGCGAACGGGUGAGUAACACGUGAGUAACCUGCCCUUGACUUUGGGAUAACUUCAGGAAACUGGGGCUAAUACCGGAUAGGGGCUCCUGCUGCAUGGUGGGGGUUGGAAAGUUUCGGCGGUUGGGGAUGGACUCGCGGCUUAUCAGCUUGUUGGUGGGGUAGUGGCUUACCAAGGCUUUGACGGGUAGCCGGCCUGAGAGGGUGACCGGCCACAUUGGGACUGAGAUACGGCCCAGACUCCUACGGGAGGCAGCAGUGGGGAAUAUUGCACAAUGGGCGGAAGCCUGAUGCAGCAACGCCGCGUGCGGGAUGAAGGCCUUCGGGUUGUAAACCGCUUUCGCCUGUGACGAAGCGUGAGUGACGGUAAUGGGUAAAGAAGCACCGGCUAACUACGUG